rnacentral:rRNA from 1 species
GACGUAGGGCGCGAGCGUUGUCCGGAUUUAUUGGGCGUAAAGAGCUCGUAGGCGGUUUGUCGCGUCGUCUGUGAAAACCCACGGCUCAACUGUGGGCUUGCAGUCGAUACGGGCAGGCUAGAGUUCGGUAGGGGAGACUGGAAUUCCUGGUGUAGCGGUGGAAUGCGCAGAUAUCAGGAGGAACACCGGUGGCGAAGGCGGGAUCCUGGGCCAGUACUGACGCUGAGGAGCGAAAGCGUGGGGAGCAAACAGG